GAUCCUGUGGCGUAACGGUAGCGCAUCUAACUCCAGAUCUGAAGGUUGUUCGUUCGAAUUGGGCCGGGAUCA
rnacentral:tRNA from 1 species